UUACGGCCAUAUCACGUUUAAACAUCGGUUUUCGUCUGAUCACUGAAGUUAAGCAAAGUCGACCCUUAUCAGUACGUAAAUGACUGACCGUCUGGGAAUACAAGGUACUGUAAG